rnacentral:misc_RNA from 1 species
GCAAACUUGGUCAUUUAGAGGAAGUAAAAGUCGUAACAAGGUCUCCGUUGGUGAACCAGCGGAGGGAUCAUUACCGAGUUUACAACUCCCAAACCCCCAUGUGAACCUUACCGACACGUUGCCUCGGCGGGAGCCCCGGGUGCGGCCGCGAGGCCAGCCCCGGACGCAAGGCGCCCGCCGGAGGGAAAAAGCAAACUCUAAAGUCUCUCAUCGAGCCUCAUGUCUGAGUGGCCCAGCAGGGCAAACGAAAAUGAAUCAAAACUUUCAACAACGGAUCUCUUGGCUCUGGCAUCGAUGAAGAACGCAGC